AGCUCAGUUGGUAGAGUGCCUGCCUCCCAAGCACAAGGCCCUGGGUUCAAUCCCUAG
rnacentral:tRNA from 1 species